UACGGGGGGAGCAAGCGUUGUUCGGAUUUACUGGGCGUAAAGGGCGCGUAGGCGGCAUGACAAGUCAGUUGUGAAAUCUCCGGGCUUAACUCGGAACGGCCAAGUGAAACUGUCAAGCUAGAGUGCGGAAGGGGCAAUCGGAAUUCUUGGUGUAGCGGUGAAAUGCGUAGAUAUCAAGAGGAACACCUGAGGUGAAGACGGGUUGCUGGGCCGACACUGACGCUGAUGCGCGAAAGCCAGGGGAGCAAACGGG
rnacentral:rRNA from 1 species